UACGAAGGGUGCAAGCGUUACUCGGAAUUACUGGGCGUAAAGCGUGCGUAGGUGGUUCGUUAAGUCUGAUGUGAAAGCCCUGGGCUCAACCUGGGAAUUGCACUGGAUACUGGCGGGCUAGAGUGCGGUAGAGGAUGGCGGAAUUCCCGGUGUAGCAGUGAAAUGCGUAGAGAUCGGGAGGAACAUCUGUGGCGAAGGCGGCCAUCUGGACCAGCACUGACACUGAGGCACGAAAGCGUGGGGAGCAAACAGG
rnacentral:rRNA from 1 species